ACGAUAUCUAGGGGUUCUGAGAGGAAGGUCCCCCACAUUGGUACUGAGACACGGACCAAACUCCUACGGGAGGCAGCAGUGAGGAAUAUUGGUCAAUGGACGAGAGUCUGAACCAGCCAAGUCGCGUGAAGGAAGACGGAUCUAUGGUUUGUAAACUUCUUUAGUGCGGGAACAAAGCGGCGUCGUGACGCCGGAUGAGUGUACCGCAAGAAUAAGCAUCGGCUAACUCCGUGCCAGCAGCCGCGGUAAUACGGAGGAUGCGAGCGUUAUCCGGAUUUAUUGGGUUUAAAGGGAGCGCAGGCUGCGAGGCAAGUCAGCGGUCAAAUGUCGGGGCUCAACCCCGGCCUGCCGUUGAAACUGUCCUGCUAGAGUUCGAGUGAGGUAUGCGGAAUGCGUUGUGUAGCGGUGAAAUGCAUAGAUAUGACGCAGAACUCCGAUUGCGAAGGCAGCAUACCAACUCGCGACUGACGCUGAGGCUCGAAAGCGUGGGUAUCGAACAGGAUUAGAUACCCUGGUAGUCCACGCAGUAAACGAUGAAUACUAACUGUUCGGAGGGCGACCUCUGAGUGGUAAAGCGAAAGCGUUAAGUAUUCCACCUGGGGAGUA
rnacentral:rRNA from 1 species